rnacentral:misc_RNA from 1 species
CGAGGGGCGGUACUGAGCACAGGGGGGGUCUGGCCUGCUGGCUCCUGCGCUGCUCUGCUGCUGCUGCGCGAAGCGGAGCGGAGCGGACUCGCGUGUAUUGUGUGCGGAGCCGAGGUCGCGUGCGGUCGCGUGUCCGAGACUGAGACUUCCCCGUGCCAGUUCGCGAGCGCAGAGCGCGCAGAGCCCCAAAUCGCGAGCGCGCGUCCCAGAGAGGCUGUCGGCAUGGCCGCGAGUACGAACGGCACCCUGGACUCUGGGAGUGCCAGUGCCCCGGACAUGACAGCCGACGGCAUGGUGCGUGGCCCCGAGCCCAGAAACAACUCGGCCGAGGGCAAGCCCGGCGAGUACCUCCGGGAGCUCAUGGACGAGAAACACAAGCUGGACGGCGGGCAGUGGCCCAACGCGGCGCGACUCCUCGAUCAAGAGGUCGCGAAGGCGCAGUCACAAGGAAAGACAGUUAAAGAAACAAAAUACGUAGACAUCUAUAGGGAAAAACCAAUCAAAGUGAGCGUCAAAGUUCUAGUCCCCAGCAAAGAGCACCCCAAGUUCAACUUUGUUGGCAAACUUCUGGGACCGAAGGGCAACUCACUGAAGAGACUCCAGGAGGAGACGAUGACGAAGAUGGCUGUGCUGGGCAGAGGCUCCAUGAAGGACAGGACCAAGGAGGAGGAAUGUAGGAAUUCGCUGGACCCCAAAUACUCCCACCUGAGCGACGACCUCCACGUAGAGAUCUCGGCCAUGGCGCCGCCGGCCGAGGCCCACGCUAGGAUAGCCUUCGCCCUGGCCGAGAUCAGGAAGUACAUGGUCCCGGACAGCAACGACGAAAUUCGGCAGGAACAAUUCCGGGAGAUGGAGAUGUACUCGCCCGAGGGCAACGGGGUGCGCGGCGGCGCGCGGGGGGGCCCUCGGGGCCGAGGGGGCAUGAUGCGGGGGGUGCCACCCGCCCGGGGGGGCUUCAUGAGGGGAGGUGCCGUGUCCCGCGGCGGGGCCCUCCUGUCCCCGCCCGGCCCCCACCCCCGCCCCCCACAGCCCGCCCCCCUGAGGCCGCCCCCGCCGCAGGCACUGCUUCCCCGGCCGCUGCCCGGCAAGACGAAGGUGCUCAGCAUCCUGGACCGCGCCCGCGUCGCCAUGGAGGAGUCGUAUAGCUCAGCCUACGACGACGACCCCUCGGGGUUCUACGAAGGAGCGGGGUAUGGCGGAUAUGAUGACUACGACGACGGAGCUGCCAACUUCUACAGUGCUGGUGCGGGCUUCACAGAUACCACUAGCCGUUGGAAGGGGUACAAGGCUCCUGGUGGCCCAGUGUCGCGCUACACGCCCAGACCAGCGCCAUACAGCAGGCCGCCCAAGUAGUCUGUCUCACGGACACAUUUUGUGACUGCGGGCUCCCCCGGGGCCGGAGUGUCCCCAGCCCCUGCUCUCCAAGGGAUGGACCAGCCUCAGCGUCGCCCCAGCCUCCGGCCCCAACGGGCCCUCCGGCCCUGCCCCGGGCCCCGGACACGUCUUCAAAGAGAGGGCAUCUCCGCGCCCCCCAGCGCCGUUCCGCUCCGGGCCACAGUCUUGACGCGGAGGCUUCCCGACCGUUUGCCGAGGACCAAGAUCACCAAGGUCACCAUGGGCGGCCGACUCGGAGCGCUGUAGAAACCCCCGACACCGACACGACCCCGUCUGUGAUAGCAGCAUCUCGAAGCAAGAGAAUCGCCUAGGUGUCCCAACAUUUUGUAAUUUUACGUCUCACCCUGUUACUUGUACUUCUUACAAUUCGUCUGUUUAAAAUUUUAUGGAUUCUUCA